GAUGAACGCUGGCGGCGUGCUUAACACAUGCAAGUCGAGCGAGAAGUUUUGAACAGAUUCUUCGGAUGAAAUUUAAAAUGGAAAGCGGCGGACGGGUGAGUAACGCGUAGGCAACCUGCCCCAUACAAAGGGAUAGCAUUUGGAAACGAAUAUUAAUACUUUAUGAAACUUAACUAGUGCAUGCUAGGUAGGUCAAAGAUUUAUCGGUAUGGGAUGGGCCUGCGUCUGAUUAGCUAGUUGGUGAGGUAACGGCUCACCAAGGCGACGAUCAGUAGCCGACCUGAGAGGGUGAACGGCCACAUUGGAACUGAGACACGGUCCAAACUCCUACGGGAGGCAGCAGUGGGGAAUAUUGCACAAUGGGGGAAACCCUGAUGCAGCAACGCCGCGUGAACGAUGAAGGCCUUUGGGUCGUAAAGUUCUGUUCUAGGUGAUGAAAACUGACAGUAACCUAGGAGAAAGCCCCGGCUAACUCCGUG
rnacentral:rRNA from 1 species